rnacentral:tRNA from 1 species
GGGGCUGUAGCUCAGUGGGAGAACAUGUGCUUUGCUUGCAGAAGGUUCCAAGUUUAAUUCUUGGCAUCUCCA